GACGAACGCUGGCGGCGUGCUUAACACAUGCGAGUCGAGCGAAGCAGUUAAGUUGAUUUCUUCGGAUUGAUUCUUGACUGACUGAGCGGCGGACGGGUGAGUAACGCGUGGGUGACCUGCCCCAUACCGGGGGAUAACAGCUGGAAACGGCUGCUAAUACCGCAUAAGCGCACAGAGCUGCAUGGCUCGGUGUGAAAAACUCCGGUGGUAUGGGAUGGGCCCGCGUCUGAUUAGGCAGUUGGCGGGGUAACGGCCCACCAAACCGACGAUCAGUAGCCGGCCUGAGAGGGCGACCGGCCACAUUGGGACUGAGACACGGCCCAAACUCCUACGGGAGGCAGCAGUGGGGAAUAUUGCACAAUGGGGGAAACCCUGAUGCAGCGACGCCGCGUGAGCGAAGAAGUAUUUCGGUAUGUAAAGCUCUAUCAGCAGGGA
rnacentral:rRNA from 1 species